rnacentral:lncRNA from 1 species
GGAAUAUAAAGAUAGUGAAGAGAGGGUGACAAGUGAAAGAGAUGAGAAACUGCAGAAUGAUUUUGAAAGGAAUAAAAGAAUGUUCUGGAAGUAUAUAAGAAAUUUGAGAAGGGAACAAGAUACAGGUGUGUCUUGUGUGAAAGAUAAAAAUGGUAGAAUGUUGUGGGAUGAAUUUAGGAUAGUUAAUAGACAAAGAGAAUAUUUCCAUAAGCUUCACAAACCUAUUGAAGAAAGGGAUGAGGAUGAAAGUGAGGAGAUCAGGAUGAAUGUAAGGAAUGAAUAUGAACUUGAUGAACACAUCAAUGAAGAAGAGGUUAUGAAUGCAAUUGG